rnacentral:rRNA from 1 species
CUAGCCGUAAACGAUGGAUACUAGGCGUUGUGAGUAUCGACCCUCACAGUGUCGUAGCUAACGCGUUAAGUAUCCCACCUGGGGAGUACGCGCGCAAGCGUGAAACUCAAAGGAAUUGACGGGGGCCCGCACAAGCGGUGGAGUAUGUGGUUUAAUUCGAUGCAACGCGAAGAACCUUACCAGGACUUGACAUGUCGCGAAUCUCAGGGAAACUUGAGAGUGCCUUCGGGAGCGCGAACACAGGUGGUGC